rnacentral:lncRNA from 1 species
AUAAUCCCACAACGGAUGGGAAUGGGGUUGUCAUUGGGUUUAUAAGAGACUUAGACACUAGUAAUAAUAACUGGGCUUAAGUAUUUUGGGCUGUUGGUUGGGCCCAACGAGUUAUUAGCUAGUAGGCUGGGUCCUUACAUAAAGGCGUCACGAGUUAGAGCCCUACCAGUCGAGUUGCUGUGAUAGAGGAGUAGUAUUUUGUUAUUUUAAGUUCAUGUACAUAUCCGAAUUGUAACUCGCUGGAGCGAGUACUUUUAUACUUGGUUAUUUUGUAUGUAUAUGAGACUUGUUUUAUUCUACCUGUUUAAUUUCUUUACAGCUCUAUACUACUAGCUAGUUGUGGUAUUGUAUGUUUUACAGUUACCGUUAUGCUUCGUAUACAAGAAAAAUUCUUUGUAUACGGCGGAUUUGUCGGCGUGCCCGGAAAACGUGUAAUUUGGAGCGUGACAUUGAGCUAAACUACAACACCAAUAAAGUAGCUUACCU